rnacentral:rRNA from 1 species
GAUACUUCCUGGAUAACGCAUAUAUGCUGGAAUGCUUUAUGCGUAAAUGGAUUCGUCCGCCCAAGGAUGGGUCUGCGGCCUAUCAGGUAGUAGUGGGUGUAAUGUACCUACUACCCUACAACGGGUACGGGUUGUGAGAGCAAGAGCCCGGAGAUGGAUUCUGAGACAUGAAUCCAGGCCCUACGGGGCGCAGCAGGCGCGAAAACUUUACAAUGCGGGAAACCGUGCAUAAGGGGACACCGAGUGCUAGCAUCAUAUGCUGGCUGUCCAGGUGUGUAAACUACACCUGUUAGCAAGGGCCGGGCAAGACCGGUGCCAGCCGCCGCGGUAACACCGGCGGCCCGAGUGGUGAUCGUGAUUAUUGGGUCUAAAGGGUCCGUAGGCGGUUUGGUCAGUCCUCCGGGAAAUCUGAUAGCUCAACUAUUAGGCUUUUCGGGGGAUACUGCCAGACUUGGCAACCGGGAGAGGUUAAGAAGUACUACCGGCGUAGGAGUGAAAUCUUGCAAUCCCUGUGGAACCACCUGUGGCGAA